rnacentral:rRNA from 1 species
AUUGAACGCUGGCGGCAGGCCUAACACAUGCAAGUCGAACGGUAACAGGAAACAGCUUGCUGUUUCGCUGACGAGUGGCGGACGGGUGAGUAAUGUCUGGGAAACUGCCUGAUGGAGGGGGAUAACUACUGGAAACGGUAGCUAAUACCGCAUAACGUCGCAAGACCAAAGAGGGGGACCCUCGGGCCUCUUGCCAUCGGAUGUGCCCAGAUGGGAUUAGCUUGUUGGUGGGGUAACGGCUCACCAAGGCGACGAUCCCUAGCUGGUCUGAGAGGAUGACCAGCCACACUGGAACUGAGACACGGUCCAGACUCCUACGGGAGGCAGCAGUGGGGAAUAUUGCACAAUGGGCGCAAGCCUGAUGCAGCCAUGCCGCGUGUAUGAAGAAGGCCUUCGGGUUGUAAAGUACUUUCAGCGGGGAGGAAGGGAGUAAAGUUAAUACCUUUGCUCAUUGACGUUACCCGCAGAAGAAGCACCGGCUAACUCCGUGCCAGCAGCCGCGGUAAUACGGAGGGUGCAAGCGUUAAUCGGAAUUACUGGGCGUAAAGCGCACGCAGGCGGUUUGUUAAGUCAGAUGUGAAAUCCCCGGGCUCAACCUGGGAACUGCAUCUGAUACUGGCAAGCUUGAGUCUCGUAGAGGGGGGUAGAAUUCCAGGUGUAGCGGUGAAAUGCGUAGAGAUCUGGAGGAAUACCGGU